AUUCUACUCCCUCCGUUGCACAAUACAUGCCUUCUAUUUGUCAAAAUAUAUAUGUAUCUAGACAUGUUUUAGUAUAGAGGUACAUCCAUUUUUGGACAAAUGGAAGUCAAGUAUUUUGGAACGGAGGGAGUACACA
rfam:Triticum aestivum genome assembly, contig: Triticum_aestivum_CS42_TGACv1_scaffold_129321_2BL